AUGGCUUGCCUAUGUGGAAAUUUUGCUGAGAUGGACCUAGGUCCCCCCUGUCACCCAUCUACUGCCUUCUUCCUCCCCAUCUCUUCAAUCUGUCACGCAGAGGACAGGAGCUCCGGUGGAGAGGUGCUCGCCGGCGGCGGCAAGGAGCGGUGCAGGCCAACACGCUCCCAUAACAGAAAACGCAUGCCACCACGCUCCGGUGGUGGAGAGGUGCUCAUCCACGUCACCCCCCUACUUGGUCGAAAGAGGAAAAGGAGGGCAUGCGCGUGGCGGCGGCCCUCUGGUCAUUCAAGGGCGGCGGUGGUCGGUGUUGGCGGCGUGGAACUCCGCGGUGGCGACGACGCUCGGGAGUUAGAGCGAGGAGGCAGGGUCGCGCAGCUAAGCUCCGGCGAGAUCCCACGCCGGUCAUGUCUGCGUCCACCUCUGGCGAGCGGCCACUUCCACGAUGCGGCCAGCAUACGCGUGCUGGUCUCCUGGAGGUGCUCGCUGGCGGCAGCCAGGAGAGGUGCUGGCCAGGUGUUACCGCUGCACAUGUCCUCAGUGGUGGCGGCGCCGGUGAUGUUCGUGUCCAGUGCUCACUCACGACGUGUUCGGUUAAAUGCCCGUACGGAAAAAAGAGAAAGAAAUAAAAAAAGAUGA
rnacentral:rRNA from 1 species